AUUGCUCAUUGCCAGAGUGUCUUGCAGAGACAAUUCCAUUGUGCUCUUGCGAGAACUCUGGAUUUCCAGGGUACUCUCAACCAUAUUCCCACCAGAGAAUUUAACUCUCUAACCUAAACCAAUGCACAGUUCAACAAACAAUCAAUCAAAUUAAUAUACAUUCUCUAUAUCAAGAUCUAUGACUACAUUCAAUACAAUAAGACAGUUCCAUAGGUUCCAUCGCAAGGCAAUCAUCUGACAUUACUUCAUAACAAAAUACAUAGCAUAAAUUACAGAAAGCCCCAACACCCCUCUCGUCCCGUAAACUUGACCUCCGCUCGUCCCUAUGGCUCGUCCACGACGUCACACUCCACAAACUUAAAAGGGUCUUUUCGUCUUUCCGUCUGGUCUUUGAGUGCGCCACAGACCAGGAAGUAAACAUGCAACUCGUUGCCGUUACAACCAUGCUGGAUGCCGUUCGUGUUUGUGUGUGUAAAUAAAGUGCGUUUCUAAAUCA